rnacentral:tRNA from 1 species
GCCGACGUGGUGGAAUUGGUAGACACGUACGUUUGAGGGGCGUAUGGAGCAAUCCGUGGGAGUUCGAGUCUCCCCGUCGGCACCA